UUCCUAUGACAUGGUGACCAUAGUUAUUCAGCAAUACUGGUGUUGGUGGGCAGGAGGUGAGCAGAGAUUCUGCUAACACAAAUCCCUUCCCAGUGGCAAACUUUCUGGGAGAUGGGCUAGCAGAUAUAAAGGAGUGAUAUGAGACAAAAUUGUCCUUUAGUACAGAAGGCAUUUGAUUUUUCUAGCGAGCAACAUGUUCAUGUUGUGGAGAAAAGGCCAGAGAAACAGUGAUAAUCUGAAGGAAAGCCCUUUUCAUUGCCUGCUAGCAGUGGAUUGUCCCUCAUCUUUUCUUCGGGUGUUUGACCUUUGUGUCAAGAACCAUUAAUCUGUACAGAAACAAAAAUCAGCAAUUAAGAGGAAGUUUACCCAGAGACAGCCCCCAUGGAAAGGGAGCAUCAAGGACAGGAAUUAGCUUUGGUGAAUGUUAACAUCAUGGAUGUCUGCUGAAGAAGCCACAGGAGCUGCAUGUCAAGGUAUCAGUGUCUGCUUGGUACAGGAGGUGUAAAUUGGUUCCUGCAACGCCCAGCGGGGAGUAUCUGAUCGGAUAACAUCUGGGAUUUAGUGAGAAAGGGAAUCUUUUCUCCAGAAAGACGGAAGGAAAGGAAACCGGGAAUGCCAAGAAAUAAAUGUCUGUAUCUGAACUCUGCAGUAAUUUGUGGCUGUGCCGAAACCACCCAGCAAAUUGGUGAUGAAGGGAACAAAGAGCAGCUGAG